rnacentral:lncRNA from 13 species
AUGUCUGCUCCCCUCUCCUGUUUCCUUAUCAAGUAUACACUGGUAUACCUGCAUAUCAAGUAUACACUGGUAUACCUGAAUAUCAAGCAUACACUGGUAUACCUGAAUAUCAAGUCUACAUGGUAUACCUGGAUAUCAAGUCUACAUGGUAUACCUGGAUAUCAAGUCUACAUGGUAUACCUGGAUAUCAAGUCUACAUGGUAUACCUGGAUAUCAAGUAUACAUGGUAUGUUUUCCAAACUUUACCUGUACAUGGGUCUAUUGGGUCUGUACACCAGGGUCUAUUUUAUCAGAUAUUCACAUUCAAUAUUUUAUGUUUAUUUUACUGUGUGAUUGUUUUCUAUGACCUGUUCUGGUUUGGUAGUAUUUUGGUAGUUUUUGGUAUAAUGUAAUAGUACAUAGAAUUAUAUAAAAAUCAAAAACAUUCUUGAUUUUCUUAUUUUUUCCCUCUUUUUUUUUAAGGAAUGGGAAUAGCUUUCAUCCCAAAUUGAUGGUGUGCAUAGAAAAAUUACAUUAGCAUCCUAAUAUCAGACUCAUGCUUAAUAUCUCAGGGGUUGUGAUGAAGUGAAUUUUGACUGAUGGUUCCUGAUAGUGGCAACACGUGUCCCUCUUACCCGGCUGGCGCUCCUCACCCGCUACUCUACAGAUGUGUCGCUUGAUGUACCCGUCGAUCGGUGCUCCACUGCCACUUAAUAAAAUAUCACUCCUGCUUUGACAGCCGGCCUUAAUUGAGUCCCUUGUCAGUUUUAGCAAACUGUGUGUUAACGUCAUUUGAAACUUUUUUUCUUCUCCAUCUAUCUCAGUCUCUCUUUCUCUCGUGGUCUAUAAGGAAUAUGUUAGCAGCCUAGCAGGCAAAUCCUCUGUAACUUUGUUUAGGAAGGAGAGAGAGAGAGAGAGAGAGAGAGAGAGAGAGAGAGGGAGAGAGGGAGAGAGAGAGAGAGAGAGAGAGAGAAUAAGCCUCAAAAGCCAUCUUGUCAUUGGAUCCAUAAUUCAGGCUCAUGAUUUUAAUUUCCCUCUGUUCUUUCAAAGGGAUGAGAAGAGGAAGGGAAGAGGAGAGGGAAGACUGGUAGUUAGCUGGAUAACUGCAUUUGAGAUGAGCUGAGGUGUUCUGUCAUGCUGCCUGUACUACAUAAUAGGGAUGGAAAUGUGCCAGAGAAGAAAGACACAUCAAAAUGAAGGGAAGCCAACUUCCCUCUCUGAACUCUCAAAAUCCACAUCGCACGCUGUUUACAAACGGAAAAACCCCAUGUUGUUUCUUCUAAGACGAACCAAUCCCAGACCAGAGGGAUACUGUGGCACAUUCAACCACAUUCAACCACAGACGUACACACAGGCACAUAUAGUACACAGACACACAAAUGGAUGUGUCAUUCCUUUUCAUUUGAAUAAUCAGUUAUGUCCUUAUAUCAGAACUAACAUGCCUUUAGUACAGUAUCCAAUGUGACCUGUAGGCAUGAGUCAUCCGGAGGGUCCUUCCUUCACACUCUGUCAGUGUGUUUGGCCCGGCCUGGCCCCAGCCUAUGUGUAUGUGUGUGUGUGUUUGUGUUUGUGCUUGCGCAGAGGGAACUGACGAUAGUUAAGAUUGUAUGUGUGUUUGUGCGUGGGUGGGUGUGUGGGUGGCUUCAGGCUGUAGGCUUCAGGCUCCUGGUCUGGGGCCCAGUGUUGUGUCUCUCUAUCUGUGUUUUCAUGUUUGUGUGAUUUGAAUUUUGAUUUUGUGGAUUCAAAUAAAGUAUUCAAAACGUGUGUGUGUUUGUCUAUCUUUCUCUUCCUCUGUGUGUUGUGGUGUUGAGAGGAGAGGGCUCUGUGGCGGUCCUCCUCUCUGUGCUCCGGUCCCCAUGGAGAAACCCCCCAAUGUCCCUUCCUUUGAAGGCUCUCUCUCUCUCUCUCUCUCUCUCUCUCUCUCUCUCUCUCUCCCUCUCUCCCUCUCUCUCUCUCUCUCUCUCUCUCUCUCUCCCUCUUUCUUCUCAGCUACACCAGGAGAUGUUUUGAUGUCAGCUGCAUCUCUUUGUCUCUUCCUCCCUCUCCCCUCAUCUUUUUCUAUAUAAUUUUCUCAUUCCCUCCCUCUCUCUCUGUCUCUCUGUAAAGCUCAGGUUGUGGUGCUUACAGGACUCGGCAGUGCCACUGUACUCCUCACCAUACCAUUUGAUCAUUAAUUUAUCACAGCUCCAACAGUUUGUUUGACAGGUGCAGUAAGUUUAAUCUGGUGGACUUGGCAGCAUUUGCUGCUCUUUCUCUUUCUCUCUGACACCCCCUCUCUCCUUCUAUCUUUUGCUUUCUCCUCCUCCACCCCAUCUCUCCUCACCCCUCUCUCUCUCCACUUUCUCUCAGCCC